UAAUACGAGGGGUGCUAGCGUUGUCCGGAAUCACUGGGCGUAAAGGGCGCGUAGGCGUCUUAGCAAGCCUUGAUUGAAAUCCCCCGGCUCAACCGGGGAACUGGUCAGGGAACUGCUAGGAUAGAGUUUGGUAGGGGAGAGCGGAAUUCCUGGUGUAGCGGUGAUAUGCGUAGAUAUCAGGAGGAACACCGAAAGCGAAGGCAGCUCUCUGAGCCAAUACUGACGCUGAGGCGCGAAAGCGUGGGGAGCAAACAGGAUUAGAUACCCUGGUAGUCCACGCCGUAAACGAUGAGCACUUGGUGUCGGGGGAUUCGACCCCCUCGGUGCCGUAGCUAACGUGUUAAGUGCUCCGCCUGGGGACUACGACCGCAAGGUUG
rnacentral:rRNA from 1 species